AGAUCUUAUCAAGACUGCAAUACAUAAGAAUAAAUAGGAAUCGGCAACAAUUAACGAUCUACGCCAGCGCAAGUCAAUAUUUAUCUGGUCAUUUUCAACUGGUUUUUAAUGUUAAAAGUCCCUCGGAGUCAACAGCUGUUUCCGGUGAGUUCAACUGCAGGAUCAAUAGCAUUCAGCGGUGAGUUUAACAACGCUCAAAUGUGGGUAAAAUAACAUUCAGAGAGGAGUUUUAUUAAAACAGCGUUCAACUGCAUGUAAGACAACAUUCAGAGUCCUGUAAUAACUGUGACGUCAUCGAAUGAGACGAAGGUCCAUGCUAUUUCAACUCGGAAGUUGAGAUGAAGAACUCCAAGAACAUCUCUUGAUCUUGGAUAAGUUGGUUGAUGGUCAAGAACUAAAGGAUGAGCUCCAAAGUCUUGAUGACUUUCUUGGUGAACUGCAAGAAAGGCAGCAGCACCAAUGAAGACACCUGAGCCGAGGGUGCAUUGGAGAAAAAGAGACAUUGAUGGAAAUAUUUUCUAUGCAAGGCCAAGGU